UGGAAAUGUACUCAGGUUGGCCACCCCUGGCUCAGAAGAACCUCUCAGGUUCAGGCUCAAUGCUUAAGAAGAGUAGAAGAUUUCCUGCCUUGAUUGAUCCUUGAGGAAUGGUCUGUUCCCCAGAUGCUUGAUGUUGCUCUCUCUCCUGUAUACAAAGUUGAUAUAGAGAAGCUAAUGAUCUCUGCUGAGUAAAAACAAUUAAAGAAGAAACUACCCCAAGGCUGGAGAGUGAGUUAAUCAAGGUUGCUGGUUCUUCACUGAAUCCCCACCCAGAAUGACUGCUGUAAACACUCAAGACUGAUCUAAGGAGAAAGGACUGGGACCCAGGCUGAGACAGGGGUCUAGCCUGUGAAGAGAAAUACCUGGAACUCUAAGCUAUAGAAACUCUGCAACUGGCCUAAACAACAUUCAGGGUACACUCUAUCCUGAAAGUUUGCAUACAAGGCUUUAGUUUCCACAUCUACCACAUCUCUAAAGAUCCCUAAGUGACCUCCUCAAGGAUUGAGCUCACAACCCUGGGUUUAGCAGGCCAAUGAUCAAACCACUGAGCUAUCCCUCCCCCCUUGAAUCCUUUGAUAGACCCUAAGGCUUCAAGCUUCAACUUGUUGGUUUUCCAUAUGAGUGUCUGUCUCAUUUUUCCUGUUAAUAUUUAUUUAUGAUGGGACACACACAACCUAUUACUGGAUGAACCAGGAAAAGAUUAAAUCCCUCACCCUCAGGAACUGCUCAUGUUGUAGUCUUGAGAGAAAGGAAGUGCCCUAUUAGAAGCUGCUGAGAAGUAGAGACAACAUCUAUGCCACCUAACCAGGAAGCCAAAAAGGCAAAAGGGGCUUCCACACAGGUGAGGUGAGAGAUGUGGUCCUGUGAAGGAAGAACUCAUGCUCUCUUGUCUAGUCCAGUAGCCUCCUGAAUCAAACCUAGACCAGGAAAUAAGAAGAAACUGGAGAAUUAUCAGGCUUGCUUGUCCAGGAGAACUAUACUAGUUCCCAGAGAGACUAUGCAUACAGUAAGAAGUAUACCAUUGCAUUUUCCCUUGGACGCUGAAGAAUGCUGACCUGUGAUUGGUUUGUUUUCCUCUGGAUGAGAUUGCUGGGGUGGAUUUCUUUUUCCCCUUUUAGGCUUUGUUUAAAGGGGUGUGUGGCAUGACACUCCAUAUCCUUUAUGGAAAUGUGCCAGAUCCAUGUCAUAAGCAUGAUAAAAUAUCAUAAGCAUGCAAAAUGGGUCUUGUAGGGUAUCACUGAAAAGGUUAUAAGUUACUGAAUGUGAUUAUCCAAUUUGUAUGCAUGUAUCAUUUCUAUGUCUAAAGUUAGGAAUAUGAACUAUAACAAUUGCAACUGGGUGUGUAUUUGGGAGACACCCACCAGACAACAGGCCAGCAGCCUUGAUCGGUCAUUAGGAAGAAACAACAAGACUGUGAAGAUACUAAUCUCUUUCUUUCCUGAGAGGCGUCCUGGGAUGUAGCUGUGAUGCUACUAGGUCAGGUGGUCCUGUCACCUGGUACUAAACAUUAUCUUGGACUUCUAGUUAUUUUCCACUAACAGGAGGGGGGGAAGUCAAGUUUGGGAAACAAAAGAUUUCCGCCUUAUGUAAAUCAUAUUUAAGGCUGUGGAGAAAGACUAACAGGACUCUCCUCCAUUGCCUACCCCAAGAAGAAAGACUGCUGAAAAUACCUGAAGAGACAAUGGAACUAACCUGAGGUGAAAGGCAGGGAAGAGUCCAGACUGAGACAGGGGUCCAGUCUGUAAGAAGAAAUAACUGGAACUCUAAGUUACAGAAACUCUUCAAGUUGCCUAAAAGAACAUUUAGGGUGAGAAAUUACUUCCUGAAACCAGUAUCUUUAAGAUCUUAAGCUUAGUAUGCAUGUUUUGAUUUAUUUGCUUAGUAAUCUGCUUUGUUCUGUUUGC